GGGGGUUAGCGUUGUUCGGAAUUACUGGGCGUAAAGCGCGCGUAGGCGGAUUAGUAAGUUAGAGGUGAAAUCCCAGGGCUCAACCCUGGAACUGCCUUUAAUACUGCUAGUCUUGAGUUCGAGAGAGGUAAGUGGAAUUCCGAGUGUAGAGGUGAAAUUCGUAGAUAUUAGAAAGAAUACCAAUUGCGAAGGCAGCUUUCUGGAUCAUUACUGACACUGAGGAACGAAAGCAUGGGUAGCGAAGAGGAUUAGAUACCCUCGUAGUCCAUGCCGUAAACGAUGUGUGUUAGACGUUGGAAAUUUAUUUUCAGUGUCGCAGCGAAAGCGAUAAACACACCGCCUGGGGAGUACGACCGCGAGGUUAAAACUCAAAUGAAUUGACGGGGGCCCGCACAAGCGGUGGAGCAUGUGGUUUAAUUCGAUGCAACGCGAAGAACCUUACCUACUCUUGACAUACUAGAAACUUUUCAGAGAUGAAUUGGUGCCUUCGGGAAUCUAGAUACAGGUGCUGCAUGGCU
rnacentral:rRNA from 1 species